CAUUUACUAACCUAUAACUCUUCUUUAUGUAGACCAGCUGGCUUUGAACUCAGGGAGAUCUGCCUCCUUUGGCCUCUGGAGUGCUGGCGUCUUAAAGUCUCCACUCUCUCCUAGCACAGUCAAUCUGAGGACCAAACCUCAACCCAUGGGCCUUGGGGGGCAUUCCAGAUUGAAUUCUUGCAGUAGGCUUUUGUCAUUUGUUCGUUUGGUGGUUUGUUUGUUUUGGGUUUGUUUCUGUGGUUCCCCAAGAAGCUUGGGAUGGGAAAUGGUCUAAGCAAGUCUUGCUGCAAAGUGAGCCUCUUACAGAAGGAAACAGCAUCUACUCUCCUUGCUGCCAUUGUGUAUCAGCUGUCAUCAGGCUUCUACUGAAAUGCGUCAGCAAGGAACAGUUCUACCGUGGUCACAGUCAAGCCUGGUUGCUAUGGAGCUAUCUGAUGGACAGCUGGAGAGAGGCGUCAUCUGCCAGGAUUCUAGAAUCACCACAGCAGGGAUGUACUGAUGUUCAGAACCAACAGGAGAGUGUGGACAUCAAAGGUCAUCUUCAUCUUCCGCCAGUUUUUGGAAGGAGGCCGGGAAGUUGUGAUGAAGUUGCUAUGAAGACUGUUGUUAAUCUGAGGAAGAUGGCUGCGUGGCUAGGUGGGCUUUAUGAUCAGUAACACCUCGUCAGGAGGAAGACGAGGCAGUCACAUGCCUGAGAAGAACAAAGCUUCAUGAUAUCUUUUUCUUUCCUUUAAGAAUGAAGCCCUUUGAGAUCCUGCAACUCACAUUACUUCAACAGCUAUGGACUUAGUCUUCCCGAGGAACUUGCUCUUAUCACCCGUGUCUGAACCUGCCCCGAUGUUAUUGUCUGCUAGAGAGAACCUUGGAACUUUCCAUCACACCCCUCUAAUCCACCAGAUAGUGACCAUAGUCCCCAGAGGGUGAUUAGAGUCUUUGCUGUCCAGAAGUGUCCCUUAGAUGUCUUUUCAAAGCUCCGAUGAGCAGCUGACAGGUGGAACAAUAGAAUCAGGAUUUGGAGGGUGGGUCCCAAGUUCAGGGGUGCUCAAAACUCCCUCCUGACUCUGAUUGACACUGCCAAGGAUGAAGGCUGGCCUGGGGUUAUGAGUGUAUCCUGACUACUACUUGCACUUGACUUUGUGCUGCUGGUCAGUUUCUUCCCCCCCCCCCCCCGCAUCCUCCACCUCAGUUUCUUCAUAUGUGAAAUGGGAACAGGAGUGCUACUACCGUACAGUGUGAGAAAUAGGUG
rnacentral:lncRNA from 1 species